GCGUGAGUGAUGAAGGCCUUCGGGUUGUAAAGCUCUUUUGGUGGGGACGAUAAUGACGGUACCCACAGAAUAAGCACCGGCUAACUUCGUGCCAGCAGCCGCGGUAAUACGAAGGGUGCUAGCGUUGUUCGGAAUCACUGGGCGUAAAGCGUACGUAGGCGGCUAUUCAAGUCAGAGGUGAAAGCCCAGGGCUCAACCUUGGAACUGCCUUUGAGACUGGAUGGCUAGAGCACGGAAGAGGUAAGUGGAAUUCCGAGUGUAGAGGUGAAAUUCGU
rnacentral:rRNA from 1 species